GCGGUCGUAGCUCAGCUGGUAGAGCAUCAGAUUGUGGAUCUGAAUGUCGCGGGUUCGAGCCCCGUCGAUCGCCCCA
rnacentral:tRNA from 2 species